CCUACGGGGGGCAGCAGGCGCGAAAACUUUACAAUGCGGGAAACCGUGAUAAGGGGACACCGAGUGCCAGCAUCCUAUGUUGGCUGUCCAUAUGUAUAAAUAACAUGUGUUAGCAAGGGCCGGGCAAGACCGGUGCCAGCCGCCGCGGUAACACCGGCGGCCCGAGUGGUGGCCACUAUUAUUGGGUCUAAAGGGUCCGUAGCCGGUUUGGUCAGUCUUCCGGGAAAUCUGACGGCUUAACCGUUAGGCUUUCGGGGGAUACUGCCAGGCUUGGGACCGGGAGAGGUAAGAGGUACUACGGGGGUAGGAGUGAAAUCUUGUAAUCCCUGUGGGACCACCAGUGGCGAAGGCGUCUUACCAGAACGGGUCCGACGGUGAGGGACGAAAGCUGGGGGCACGAACCGGAUUAGAUACCCUCGUAGUCC
rnacentral:rRNA from 1 species